CACACAAUUGAUCUGUUUUGGAAAUAUCUUGAGUAGUAUCAAACAAAAUGGAAUAAAACGGUGCAGUGACUAUUUCAUUUACCAGAGCAUUUUCCACUUUUUGAACCAGAACAGCAAUGAACUCAUUUUGUAUUUUUGGACUUAAGUAUUUAAUCUGGCCCUUAGAUUUGUUUAGCAACUCUUGUAAAAUAGGAUCGUAUUUGGCUAAUAACUCAACAAUACUCAAAAAAUUUCCUUUUGGACCAGAAUCGUUGCCAUAUACCGUUUCUUUAUGGCCACGAAAAGCUAAAUUACAGGUUGAAAGUGUCAAAGUAACAUCAAGGAGUAUAGGGAGUACCUGGCGCCAAAAAAAUUUUUCUCUCUUGAUAAUGACUCUUGCUCUUCAUCUAAUGUUCCAUGUAACUGCCCCUCUUGAUGUACAAAACAUGAAUGCAAAAGUUCUUUCUAUGUCUCAUGUCUUUCUAUGGCUUCCACAAUAUGUUUCCAAUCAUCAUAGCCUUCCAUCCAAAUAUUUUGUAUAUUUUUAGAUGCCCUAUUUGCGAAUAACCAACAUGGUUCACAAUAUGCUUUUUGAAGCAAUAGAGAAUAGGACAGCCAUGUACGUUCUAACUUUACGCCAGAUUUAGAAACAGUGUAAUAAUAUUUAUCUAAGAGAGAGCCCUUAAAAAGGGGCCUUUUGGUUUACAGUGUCCGUUUUCGAUCACAAACCGUUUUACUUGAUCAUUGAGUUUUUUAAAGUUACCUUUAUCAGUAACAUGCGGUAAAGAUUUUAAUUUUUCUAUGUCCAAACAUGAUUCAUUUAAAGAUUUGCUCGUACCUGGUUGUGGUUGCUCUGAAUCUAAAUAUUCACUGUUAUGGGGCCCUACGAUAUUGCCACUUAUGUCAUCAUUUUCUGCCUUUCCGUCGCGCUGUUCAUUUGAUUCUUCUUGUAUACUAUCUUGAUUAUUAAAGUACUGACUUAUUUUAGGUAACUUUUUAUUUUGUUCUUUAGACUCCUUCUUUCGCUUCCACUCUGAUACUUUCUAGAACAAAACCGCAAAAAGUUUGUAAUAAUACUAUAGUUUUUAUUUAUUGAAAAAUCUACUUAAUUGCUAACAAAUGCCAAAAAAGCGACCGUAAAAAUGUUUAUUACGAAAGUCCACCGAUUGUUCAAAGUUCAAUUCAAGUGUCAAAAUUUGUAAGUUUUGAAAGAACGAUGAACAUAGGUACCGAAAUAGUUUUGGUGGUUACGAAUGUCAAAAUAGUGAAAUGAUUUUGAAAUGCGCAAUGAGAAUCAUUUAUGGUAUUCAGAGUUUACUUUUAAAGUUAAUAGGUAGCAACUUUAACAAUGUAACACAUUCAAACUGUGAGCAACCCUUCAAACAGCUGAUUCGAACUGUCAAAAAUUGUGUAGCUACAAAAAUAUUGACAUGUAAGCAAUGCCUCGCAGAAGUGGAAAAGAAAAAUUACUAAACGGACUGUGCUUAAAAAACAUGUUUUAAUUGCUGCUCCAAGAUUCAAGCAGUGAAGAUGAGGACUGCGAUAUUCUAAUGGACUUUAAUGUUAGUGCAGCAAUAAUUUUGUCCUCAAGAAGAUGCAGCGACGUAAAUGUGCCAAAAUCUACUAAUUGGAUUGACACAAUCCUUCCCAACUUCGAUAACAAUCGUAUGCGGCAAAUGUUAUGACUGGAAACUCCGGAAUUUCAACAUAUUUUAAGCUUAAUCAAAGAAGAUACUGCUUUUAAAAAUAAAAAUUCGGUUCCUCAAAUGCCAGUGGAAUUGCAAUUAAAGAUCGCACUUUUCCGUUUUGGUUCUAGUGGGGAUAGUGCAUCCAUCAGAAAGGUUGCAAACUUGUUUGGAGUUGGAGAUGGAGGAACUGUGAUUACAGUUACAGACCGCAUUAUUUCUGCCAUCGUAAAUUUGAAAUCUAAGUUUUUGUGUUGGCCAACUAGGGAAGAAAGACGCAAACUUUGUCGGAAUCUCCAAUUGAGGAUCAUGAAUUCUAUUUUUCCAGGAAAAAACAGUAUUCCAUGAAAAUGCAAAUAGUGUGCGACUAUUCUUUGAGAAUUCGACAAGCAACAAUUGGAUAUAGGGGCAGUGUACAUGAUACUAAAAUUUUUGCAGAAUCAGCUAUUGGACGAGCACCUGGAAAUUAUUUUUGAGAAAGGCAAUGGAUAGCCGGUGAUUCUGCGUAUCCCUUAAAUAGAAAUAUAAUUAUACCUUUUCGGCAAAAUGGCAACGAACUGUCGCAAUAUAAAAGGGAUAGGUUCAACAAAUACUUUUCUAAAUAUCGAGUACGAGUAGAAAAUUGUUUCGGCAAAUUAAAAGAAAGAUUUAGCAGCUUAAAAGAGCUUCGGUUUCGAUUGUCCAACGAAAAUAAUUACAAGAGCUGUUGCAGAUGGAUUUUAGCCUGCAGCAUUUUGCAUAAUAUAUUGCAAGACUUUAACAAUGACGACGAUAAUAGCUGUGAUGAGGAAGAAAUUGAUUAUCCUCCAGAAAUUUAUGAACAACACGAAUUACGAAUUGCAUUGGCUGAAUUUAUUAAUAAUAGGAGCUCCCAAUAAAAGUUUCUAAGUGAUUUUUUUUUAAUUUUUAGAACUAAAUGUGUUUUUUUUAACCAAAUACCAUUUAGUUGUAAAGACAAUUAUCUUAAUAUUUAAAGGAAGAGUUCCAAUGUAAUUAAUAAAUAGAGUAGUAAUUUUUGGUCUAUCCUCGGAAUGGGUUGAAAAUUGUAAAGUACAGAAAAUAAAAACCGCCAAAGAAUA